rnacentral:rRNA from 1 species
CACUCCUACGGGAGGCAGCAGUGGGGAAUCUUGCGCAAUGGGCGAAAGCCUGACGCAGCCAUGCCGCGUGAAUGAUGAAGGUCUUAGGAUUGUAAAAUUCUUUCACCGGGGACGAUAAUGACGGUACCCGGGGAAGAAGCCCCGGCUAACUUCGUGCCAGCAGCCGCGGUAAUACGAAGGGGGCUAGCGUUGCUCGGAAUUACUGGGCGUAAAGGGAGCGUAGGCGGACAUUUAAGUCAGGGGUGAAAUCCCGGGGCUCAACCUCGGAAUUGCCUUUGAUACUGGGUGUCUUGAGUAUGAGAGAGGUGUGUGGAACUCCGAGUGUAGAGGUGAAAUUCGUAGAUAUUCGGAAGAACACCAGUGGCGGAGGCGACACACUGGCUCAUUACUGACGCUGAGGCUCGAAAGCGUGGGGAGCAAACAGGAUUAGAAACCCGUGUAGUCCC